rnacentral:tRNA from 1 species
GGAGAGGUGGCUUAAUGGUUAAAAGCACAUAUUGUUUUUGCAGAGUUCCUGAGUUCAAUUCCCAGUCCCCCCA